AUUGAGUUGAUAUUUGGUAAUCAAUCGUGAUCAAUCAUAUUGAUCAUUACUAUCGAGUGUUUGUAUUUCGUAUAGAGUUGAUUGAGUUGAUAUUAUAUAAUCAAUCGUAUCUAUCGUAACGAUCUAUGGUUUGUACUUUUUAGUUAGUUGAUAGAAUUGAAAACUGGUUAUCAAUCGUGAUCAAUCGUAUCAAUCGAUGUUUUAAAGUCAAUUGUUAUUGUAUCAAUCGAUUGUCGAAUACUGUACCU
rnacentral:lncRNA from 1 species